rnacentral:rRNA from 1 species
AGGCGAGGCAGAAAUGCGUAGUCGAUGGGAAGCAGGCGAACAUUCCUGCACCAGCACGGAUGGUUUUGUAAGGUGGGACGGAGGAGGAUAGCCGAGCGACCUGUUGGAUGGUCGUUCAAGCCGGUAGGCGGUUCGCGUAGGAGGCAUCUGGCCACAAACGCGCGAGCAACGCCGAGAGGUGAUGAGGGUCGCGCAAGGCGGACAACUCGGUGAGUCCAAGCUUCCAAGAAAAGCAUCGUACAAGUGUACCGCUGUGCUGACCGUACCGUAAACCGACAC